AGCCCCAAUCUAUGAAAAUGGGUGUCCAGAAUGGUAGUUGUGGCUGAAAAAAUGACAGGUUUUGCUUCCAUCACUAUAGAUUAAUUUCCGUGGUGACAAUGAGACCUGUAACACUU
rnacentral:snoRNA from 1 species